rnacentral:lncRNA from 1 species
AACAUUUCGAACUUCCUCCAAAUGAGUGCUAAAAUGGACGGAUGAAGUCUAGCAAGAGCAGCAAUAAAGGAGCAACACUGUGAUUCUACAGCCUACACAAACCCAGGAAGAAAAGAAAUUUUAGCUUUGAAAUCAGUUAUUCUUCGAACCUUCUUUUGAAUUCCAAUUUUCUCUCAGUUUUCAACUGUUAGCCAAUGUCAAAUAGAGCCAGAUCCGUGUGGAUUUAUGUGAGCAUAUCGACUGACUUUCAGAAGAGAAGAGUGAGGUCUGGUUUUCACUCAAAAUGAGGAAGAUGAAGCUAGAAACGGCGUCUCUGAUUGUAUUCAUAGGCGUGCAUUUUUCAGAGAAAAAGAAGAAGUCUCGUUCAAGAAGAAGCAGGAACCCGUUUUCUAUUUGAGAACCAUCUCUCUUUCUUCGCUUCAAAAAUCAGUGGACGAGAGAGGGGUUCCGUUCGGUUGUGACGAAGAACGAAGAUCAAGAGCUAGGGAAAAGCUGCGCUCCUGGAUCUCCCCUCUUAGCUCUAAAAUUAG